rnacentral:rRNA from 1 species
AUGAGGAUGUCUUUUUGGAACCUACGGGACUGCCACCAAAGCGUGCGUGUGAUCACAAUUCCCCUAAUGCAGGGAGCACAGCCAGUUAACAUACGGGGCUACCAACACAAACCUGAAUUGAAAACGGAGGUGGAACGACAAGUGGCAGAAAUGUUGAAGGUUGGUCUUAUUCAAAAGAGCAGCAGCCCAUUUUCCUCUCCUAUCAUCCUAGUCAAAAAGAAAGACGGCACUUGGCACAUGUGCGUCGAUUACAGACGCCUGAACACCAUGACCAUUAUCAGCAAGUACCCAGUGCUAGUUCUCGAAGACAUAUUGGAUGAGCUGGCGGGGGCACGCUGGUUUUCCAAAUUGGACUUGCGCUCGGGAUAUCAUCAGAUCCGUCUAGCAGAAGGGGGGGAAUACAAAACUGCAUUUCAGACUCACCCUGGACAUUAUGAGUUUAGAGUGGUACCGUUUGGCCUCGGUGGAGCACCGGAACCUUUAAUGGGGGAUUGA